AAUAGAUACCCUCGGUAGUCCACGCCGUAAACGAUGAAUACUAGGUGUAGGAGGUAUCGACCCCUUCUGUGCCGCAGUUAACACAAUAAGUAUUCCGCCUGGGGAGUACGAUCGCAAGAUUAAAACUCAAAGGAAUUGACGGGGGGCCCGCACAAGCAGCGGAGCAUGUGGUUUAAUUCGAAGCAACGCGAAGAACCUUACCUAGACUUGACAUCUCCUGAAUUACCCUUAACCGGGGGAAGCCCUUCGGGGCAGGAAGACAGGUGGUGCAUGGUUGUCGUCAGCUCGUGUCGUGAGAUGUUGAGUUAAGUCCCGCAACGAGCGCAACCCUUAUCAUUAGUUGCUACCAUUAAGUUGAGCACUCUAGUGAGACUGCCACGGUUAACGUGGAGGAAGGUGGGGAUGACGUCAAAUCAUCAUGCCCCUUAUGUCUAGGGCUACACACGUGCUACAAUGGUGAGUACAAAGAGAUGCAAUACCGUGAGGUGGAGCCAAACUCAAAAACUCAUCCCAGUUCGGAUUGUAGGCUGAAACUCGCCUAC
rnacentral:rRNA from 1 species